AAAACAGACAUCAGAAAACCAGGACUAACUGCUGUCGGGGGCAGGGUGACCCCAUCGAUAACCUACAACCCCUCUAUAACUCCACAACUCCCUCUCACCAUGGAAUUUCCAUUUGCUGUGGAAAGGCAUGUGAUCCAUCCCUCCCUCUGACCUCUUAGCUGGGAUUCCAUGGCCACACAACCCUGUGACUCUAUGUCCCCUCAAUUUCAGGACCCCCCUUGGCCCCAUGAUUCCUUGACCCCAUGGCCUUGUGACCCCUGACCUUCCAAGUGACCUCCCUAGACUUUGGGCCCUGUGACUGUUCUUCCCAUACCUCUCACUUGUGACUCUGGCCUUGGCUCCUCUUGGGGGUCUUGUUGGUCUGGGCCUCCCUAGGAAGAUGUGGGGGAGGCUCUGGCCCCUCUUCCUGAGCUUCCUCACAGCAACUGCAGUACCCGGACCCUCACUGCGAAGACCAUCCAGAGAACUAGAUGCUACCCCUCGGAUGACCAUCCCUUAUGAAGAGCUCUCUGGGACCCGGCACUUCAAGGGCCAAGCCCAGAACUACUCAACACUGCUGCUGGAGGAGGCCUCACAGAGGCUGCUGGUGGGAGCCCGAGGCGCCCUGUUCUCUCUCAGUGCCCAUGACAUAGGAGAUGGGGCUCACAAAGAGAUCCACUGGGAAGCCUCUCCAGAGAUGCAAAGCAAAUGUCAUCAAAAAGGGAAAAACAAUCAGACUGAGUGCUUUAACCACGUGCGGUUCCUACAGCGGCUCAAUGACACCCACCUCUAUGCAUGUGGAACUCAUGCCUUCCAGCCCCUCUGUGCUGCCAUUGAUGCUGAGGCCUUCACCUUGCCAACCAGCUUCGAGGAGGGAAAGGAGAAAUGUCCUUAUGACCCAGCCCGUGGUUUCACAGGCCUUGUCAUCGAUGGAGGCCUCUAUACAGCCACACGGUAUGAAUUCCGGAGCAUACCUGACAUCCGCCGGAGCCGCCACCCACACUCCCUGAGAACUGAGGAAGCACCAAUGCACUGGCUCAAUGAUGCUGAGUUUGUAUACUCCGUCCUCGUGCGAGAGAGCAAGGCCAGCGCAGUGGGUGAUGAUGACAAGGUUUACUACUUCUUCACGGAGCGUGCCGCUGAGGAGGGCUCCAGCAGCUUCUCUCAGAGCCGAAGCAGCUACCGAGUGGCCCGUGUGGCCCGUGUGUGCAAGGGAGACCUAGGAGGGAAGAAGAUCCUGCAGAAGAAGUGGACAUCCUUCUUGAAGGCUCGUCUCAUCUGCCACAUUCCACAGUAUGAGACGCUGCGUGGGGUCUGCAGCCUGGAUGUUGACACCUCAUCCCGUACACACUUCUAUGCAGCCUUCACGCUGAUCACACAGUGGAAGACCCUGGAGGCCUCAGCCAUCUGCCGCUAUGACCUGGCCGAAGUGCAGGCUGUCUUUGCAGGCCCCUACAUGGAGUACCAGGAUGGUGCCCGGCGCUGGGGCCGCUACGAGGGUGGGGUGCCUGAGCCCCGGCCUGGCUCGUGCAUCACAGAUUCAUUGCGCAACCAAGGCUACAACUCAUCCCAAGACUUGCCAUCCCUGGUCCUGGACUUUGUGAAGUUGCACCCACUGAUGGCUCGGCCUGUGGUACCCACACGUGGACGGCCCCUGCUGCUCAAGCGCAAUGUGCGUUAUACACACCUCACAGGGACACCCAUCACCACACCUGCUGGACCCACCUAUGACCUGCUCUUUCUGGGAACAGCUGAUGGUUGGAUCCACAAGGCUGUGGUCCUGGGUUCUGGGAUGCACAUUAUUGAAGAGACACAAGUUUUCAAGGAGCCCCAGUCUGUGGAGAAUAUAGUUAUCUCUCUGAUGCAGCACAGCCUCUACGUGGGGGCCCCUAGUGGAGUCAUCCAGCUACCACUGUCCAGCUGCUUCCGCUACCAUUCCUGCUAUGACUGCAUCCUGGCCCGGGACCCUUACUGUGGCUGGGACCCCAGCACCCAUACCUGCAUGGCAGCCACCACUGUAACCAACAGGACAGCACUGAUACAGGACAUAGAAAGAGGAAAUCGAGGCUGUGAGGGCAGCAGAGAUACAGGGCCGCCACCACCACUGAAGACCCGCUCUGUGCUCCGAGGUGAUGAUGUCCUCCUGCCCUGUGACCAGCCAUCCAACCUGGCCCGGGCCUUGUGGCUACUCAAUGGGAGCAUGGGCCUAAGUGAUGGGCAGGAUGGCUACCGUGUGGGUGUGGAUGGGCUGCUGGUGACAGACACACAACCUAAGCACAGUGGCAACUAUGGCUGCUACGCUGAAGAGAAUGGCCUCCGCACCCUGCUGGCCUCCUAUAGCCUCACAGUCCGGCGGGCCACUUCUGCCCCAGCUCCACAAGCCCCUGCCAUGCCUGGGGCACAGCUGGCACCUGAUGUGAGGAUGCUCUAUGUGCUAGCCAUUGCUGUACUUGGUGGCCUCUGCCUCAUCUUGGCCUCCUCACUCCUCUAUGUGGCCUGUCUGCAGGAAGGCAGACGAGGGCGCCGACGGAAAUACUCACUGGGUCGGGCUGGCAGAGCAGGGGGAUCUGCUGUGCAGCUGCAGACAGUCUCAGGCCAGUGUCCUGGAGAGGAAGAUGAGGGUGACAAUGGGGAGGGGGCUGGUGGCCUGGAGGGCAGCUGCCUCCAGAUCAUCCCUGGGGAGGGAGCCCCAGCCCCACCACCUCCACCACCCCCACCACCCCCAGCUGAGCUGACCAAUGGGCUGGUGGCACUGCCCAGUCGGCUGCGAAGAAUGAAUGGCAACAGCUAUGUGCUCCUGAGGCAGAGCAACAAUGGAGUACCGGCAGGGCCCUGCUCUUUCACAGAGGAACUCAGCCGCAUCCUGGAGAAGAGGAAGCACACGCAACUCGUAGAGCAGCUAGAUGAGAGCUCUGUUUAAGCGCAGCCUACCAGAACAAACACUCUUCUAAGCCAGCCUAUCUACCUGGGGCUGGGCCGCUGCCUUCCUAACACAGCUCCCCUCCCUCCACACUCCUCACUUCUUACCCUUCUCCCAACAUUUUAGUGUCCCUGUAGGGCUGGCCUGAGUCAGGCCUAGCCAAAGCCCUUUCCUCAGUCUCCACAGACCCACAUGUGAGCAGCCCAGGCCCAUCGGUGCUCCUCAGAGGCAGGGUUUUGCAGGUCCAGAUGGCCUCAAUGUCACCACCCUCUGCAUGGCCCUGUGUGCUGGAUGGUCCUGAAGCCAGACAAGACCUCUACCAGUCAUUUGAGCCCUGCAUACAUUCACAUGUGCACAUGGAAUAAUGUUUAUCAGCUGGGCUGCAGUGUUCCCACCCCCACCUUCUUCUCCUGGUACAUUCUUUUUUUU